GACUUCAUAGCUCAGUUGGUAGAGCACUGCACCGAUACUGCAGAAAUCAUGUGUUCGAUUCCCGUUGAAGUCA